CAAUCCAUGCCUUUUGACUUAAAAAAAUCAACGGCUUAGAUUAAUCCAACAUUAAAAAGUCUUAAAUUUUUUUAAAAUUUCAGGAACUUGGCAAAAAAUAUCCAAUUUUUUCGUAUAAAUACCUAACCAUCUUCUUCAUUCUACACACCGCACUCAAUAUUUAUUUUUACAACAAUCUCCUAUAUAUAUACAUUUUAUUUUAUUUUUACUUUCCAAAUCCUUUUGUUAACACAAAAAAUGAGUGAAGAAGGCAAAUUGGUCGAUUGGGGAAGAUGUUAAUUUCCUUCAGGCUUGGGUGCUUGUUACUCAUGACCUGGUCAUAGUAAAUGAUAUAAGGGUGCAACACAUGUGGAAGAAGAUUCAUGCACAAUUGGUCGAGCAAACUUACAAUGAUACAGUUCAACACGGUAACAAAGAUACAAAGUUCAACAUAGUAAGAAUGAUACAAGGUUCAAUACAACUACAAUGAUACAAAGUUCAAGACACAUACAAACUGCUCGAUCAAGUCAUGGUGAUGCUCGUUGUGGAUGUAAGUUGAAUGUACAGUCUCAUACGUUGAAUGACCAUCUCGUGGUAAUGACGCAACGUCGAUCCCUUUUAAUGGAAUGUGCUGGGCGGAUUCUUUAGUGUUGCCAUGAGCUUGAUAAAUUCUAGUAUGUGAAUUGUUCAUCAUGUCUUCAUCAAAGACUUCUUGGUUACACGACUGGUUCUUGAACCACCUGCUUCAUCGUUGUGUUGAUCAAUUGCAAGGACUGCUUCCACAACUUGAUAGGUGAUGCUUUUGUAGCCUUCGGUGUUGGGCAUGUCUCAUUUUUAGUUUAGCUUCUCACUUGUUUUCUUGCUCUUCUUUCUCUUGCAACAUCCUCAAGUUAUUCAUUGUUGAAGGAACUUUCUCUUUUGAAACUCUAUGAAUUGAGAUGAGUAGAUAGGAUGGCGGUUUGAGUACGUGUGUUGGUUUAAAAGGGUUUUAUGGAGAAAUAGGAGGAAAAUAGAAGAUUGGAUAAAGAUAUGCGACACUGACACACCCCGCCCCGGAAUGUCCAUUAGGAGUUCGAAUUGAGCUGUGUUGGGGAAGGUGACGAAGCCAUAAAGUGUAUUGAUGUGGUAAAUGUGAAUAAAUUUAAACCUAAAGUGCCUAAAUACAAGAGUGCGCUUGUGAGCGGGAAUGAACCCAUUUCACACGUGAUGACAGAGUAUAAGUAAAGUACAGUAAGGUAAAAUAAGGAUUAUACCAUCAAAGGUAGCCACUUAUACUGAGAUUUGCCAAGAAUCCUCGUCGAUACUUAAGCUCAGCUAUUAAAACCUGGAGGGGCGAAAAACAAGGGUGAGUGGGCCUAAAAAUAAAGUUUUAUAAAAACCUUUUUAAAAACGUUAUAACCCCUCGCCGUAAAACAAUUAUAGUUUCCAAAAUAUACAUACUACGUAUAGUAUGAAAAUACUUACCAUAGCCUGCAAAAUCACAAAAUGCCAUACGUCGCAAUAUUGCGUAAAUAAACACAUAACAGCCAAUAUCAUAUAUCCCGCAUAAACAAACAUGUCAUAGCGAGUGCUCAUCGACACAUGCUGACACACGAGUUCAUGUAGAGAUAUUCUGACAUGAACAUGAUUAGGUGUAAUAAUGAUAUAUGCUCUAGUACUACAAUCACAUGAAGACUGGCGCUAUGCGCAACACAUAUGAGUCAGAGUUGCCUAUGGCAACCUAUACGAUAGGACUAACACCUACAAUGGAUCCAAAGUGAGUGUACGGUGCGAUGUGCACAUACACGUGAAAGACUGGCCCUGACCCGGGUGAGUACCAACACCAAUGCAGCAAACAAUGAACAAAUACCAUAAAUAUAGUCAUGUCGCAACCAUUCAAGAAUUCUAGUCAAUAUCAUACUAUUCAUGACCAUAAAUAUAAUCAAGGCAUCCCCUUAUAGUAAGCUUACCUGUACAUCCCAUAGGAUUAUUUCAUCAUUUCCCAACUAUAAGGUAUUUCUUAUAAACGUUAAUUUAAUCAUGGCAAUUGCAUAGAGAAUUUAUUAAUGAUUGUAUAUAUGGAAACUAACCAAUAUAUAUAAAGAAAAGACCCAUUCACAAAUCAUGUCGUCGAGUAGAACCUGCCUCGUAGCGUCAAGAGUCAUUGCAAUGACAUUUUGCCUAGAAACGAAACAAUUUAUGUAAAUACGUAACGUACUAAUGUAUAAACGCGUUUUUGUACAAAGUGUGGUUGAUAAAUGAACUAUCUUAAAAUGGUCAAAUUUCGGAAAACGAAUAGCAGAUUCGAAAUUAGCGUGUCAAAAUACACUAAG
rnacentral:lncRNA from 1 species